UUCUCUUUAUAUAUUGUUAGAUAUAAAAUAAAACUAUUUUCACUAUAAUAUAUUGAGAAAGCUCUUUUCUUUUCUCUUGCCCUCAGCCACAUUUUUGAGUGCGUUGCUACAUUAUAUAAAAAAGUACAUUUAUAUAUUUAUAACUCCUGCCCUUUGCAUUUUUCACCGGCUCAUGACGCAUGCGUCCUCAUUUUCACUGCCUUCCAUCCUUUUUCUAUUAUAUGAAAUAGCAAUACAACUUCUUAUUGGUGUAUCGACAAAUACAAUUUACAUAGAAAAAUAUAUUGAUGAAUUCUCAAGGAGCAUUUUCCAUAUAUCUGUAAACUUUAAUUUCAAUAAUUUCAAUUUUAUAAGUAUAUAUGUAACGGUUUGUUCUUUGCUUAAUUCCAUUUGUUUUUUGAAAUAGAUUUUUGAUUUAU
rnacentral:lncRNA from 1 species